rnacentral:lncRNA from 1 species
UUUCUGGUAAACAAUUAUAUCUACAUAAAUUAGCUUCUGCUCCUGUAUCUAUCAUAGACGUAUAAUAUCUACUGUAAUAUCCUUCUACUACUAUCUUCAUUAAUACAUAUAUUUUCAUAUCAUGUUAAAGCUCUUCUUAAGAAUAAUUUCUCUCUGUUAUAUGUUAUAGAUAAUUGUGUAUGCUCUAUAUUAUAUGGUUUUACUUGUUCUA